rnacentral:ncRNA from 1 species
GCUGUUUUGCGUUAGGGAUUGUAGUGGAAAUCCUUUUGUUUUUUCCUUUAAAAAACAAAAGAUUGCAACGGAAAGCCCGCUCGAAC